ACACGUAGGGGGCGAGCGUUGUUCGGAAUCAUUGGGCGUAAAGGGCGUGCAGGCGGUCCUGCAAGUCCGGCGUGAAAGACCCCGGCCCAACCGGGGGGACGCGCUGGAAACUGCAGGGCUUGAGUACAGGAGGGGAUGCCGGAAUUCCAGGUGUAGGGGUGAAAUCUGUAGAUAUCUGGAAGAACACCAAUGGCGAAGGCAGGCAUCUGGCCAUGUACUGACGCUGAGACGCGAAGGUGCGGGGAGCAAACAGGUUUAGAUACCCUGGUAGUCCGCACAGUAAACGAUGUGCACCAGGUGGCGGGGGGUCGACCCCCGGUACCGUAGCUAACGCAUUAAGUGCACCGCCUGGGGAGUAUGCUCGCAAGGGUGAAACUCAAAUGAAUUGGCGGGG
rnacentral:rRNA from 1 species